CCACGGUGAGUAACACGUAUCCAACCUGCCGUCUACUCUUGGACAGCCUUCUGAAAGGAAGAUUAAUACAAGAUGGCAUCAUGAGUUCACAUGUUCACAUGAUUAAAGGUAUUCCGGUAGACGAUGGGGAUGCGUUCCAUUAGAUAGUAGGCGGGGUAACGGCCCACCAAGCCUUCGAUGGAUAGGGGUUCUGAGAGGAAGGUCCCCCACAUUGGAACUGAGACACGGUCCAA
rnacentral:rRNA from 1 species